rnacentral:lncRNA from 1 species
GAGACCAUGGCCUGCCAUUUCUUAUUUGCCAGAAUUCUUAUAAGGAUAAAAUUAGAUGAUAGAUAAUGGAACAGAUUUGUGAGCUCUAAAGCACUAUGAUGCUAAUCCCUGUUGUUUAACAGCAGCAUAAUGGAGUGAUAGAAUGGAAUAUAAUGGAGUGAGAGAGCAAAACUGGACUUGAAUUAUGCCUCAAGAAUACCAUUUAAAACCAUGUGAUAUUAUUCAGGUGAAUCCUAGUCUCUCAGCAUUUUUAAUCCAGUAUCAAGUCAAGGGAUAUAAAAUCUACUUUUCACAGCAAGAUUGCAGGGAUAAAAGCGGGAAAUUGCUUAAGACUCAAUGCUACCAAUCAUUUUAACAUAAGCCAUAAUUCAUAAAUGCCAGAAAUUAAUAUAUGCUAUUUUUUAUGAUAAGAAAACUUGUUGUGGAAUAUUAUAACUUGUCAAAUAGACUCGAGGUGAAUAGGUCUCUUUGGGAGGCUAAGCAACCCUGUCUUAAGAGCCAAUGAGAGGGUUGACGACACAUCAGCCUAAGAGAUAAAACCUCCUUUCAGUGAUGGAAGGGUUAACAAGACUUGAAGAGUGGGUGCUAUUAAUGAUACAGUCAGCUCUGGGUUAGAUGGGCUCCUGCUGUUUUUCUUGGCAGUGAGUGCUGGAUCUGCUUUCAUCAUUCAUGACCUUUUCACCCUUGGAAGAACAGCUAAGGCAGCUUCUUGCUGUGAGGGACCCAGGUAACCAAGUUCUUGGAGUAAGAUCAAGAUUUUCUUGCAAUCUGUCAUGCCCUCUCCUUUGAUAUUUAGCUGGACCUGGGGCUUGCUCAGUGUUGUCUAGAGGCCCUAUGCUGCAUGGAAUGAACAGAGGGUAGCCCCUCACAUGUCUUUAAUCUCCAGUCCCUCCAGACUCCAGAAAAAAAAAUGACAGAAGUUGUUUGUUCUGAAGGGAAAGAAGUAGCGAAAGAGACAGCAGGAGAAGACCGCCUAGGACAAGCAGAUGAAUACACUAACAAGCAAACAAAAACAAAUCAAGUUCAAGGAGCUUCAAAGGGUGAAAUCCUGGAGGAGUGGAGUGCUGCAGGACUGCGCCAUUGUCAGUCUUGA